CCUACGGGAGGCAGCAGUGGGGGAUAUUGCACAAUGGGGGAAACCCUGAUGCAGCGACGCCGCGUGUGGGAAGACGGUCCUCUGGAUUGUCAACCACUGUCCCCAGGGCCGAAGAUGACGGUACCUGGGGAGGAAGCUCCGGCUAACUACGGGCCAGCAGCCGCGGAAAUACGUAGGGAGCGAGGGUUGUCCGGAAUUACUGGGUGUAAAGGGAGCGUAGGCGGGACUGCAAGGUGCGUGUCAAAUCUACCGGCUCAACCGGUAGCCGCACUCAAAACUGCAGUUCUUGAGUGAAGUAGAGGCAGGCGGAAUUCCUAGUGUAGCGGUGAAAUGCGUAGAUAUUAGGAGGAACACCAGUGGCGAAGGCGGCCUGCUGGGCUUUUACUGACGCUGAGGCUCGAAAGUGUGGGGAGCAAACAGGAUUAGAUACCCUGGUAGUC
rnacentral:rRNA from 1 species